rnacentral:tRNA from 2 species
CGGGGUGUGGCGAAGCUUGGUAUCGCGCAUGGUUCGGGACCAUGAGGCCGUGGGUUCGAAUCCCACCACUCCGACCA